ACUCAAAUGAAUUGACGGGGGCCCGCACAAGCGGUGGAGCAUGUGGUUUAAUUCGACGCAACGCGAAGAACCUUACCUGGGUUAAAUCGCCAGGAAUCCUGCAGAGAUGUGGGAGUGCCCUUCGGGGAACCUGGUAGAAGGUGCUGCAUGGCUGUCGUCAGCUCGUGUCGUGAGAUGUUGGGUUAAGUCCCGCAACGAGCGCAACCCUUGUCGUUAGUUGCUAACAGGUCAAGCUGAGCACUCUAGCGAAACUGCCGACGUUAAGUCGGAGGAAGGUGGGGAUGACGUCAAGUCCUCAUGGCCCUUAUGCCCAGGGCUACACACGUGCUACAAUGGCCGGUACAAAGGGUCGCAAGCGCGCGAGCGUAAGCCAAUCCCAAAAAACCGGUCUCAGUUCGGAUUGGAGUCUGCAACUCGACUCCAUGAAGUUGGAAUCGCUAGUAAUCGCGGAUCAGCACGCCGCGGUGAAUACGUUCCCGGGCCUUGCACACACCGCCCGU
rnacentral:rRNA from 1 species